CGUGCCGAUAAUCCGCGCCCACUCCCACCCGCCGCACCCGUCCGCGGAGGGCGGCCGCCGCAGCUCCGCCAGCUGCACGCCAGGAAACCAAACCAGACAACAGGAAUUAUACAAGCCGAUUCAUGAAAUGCAACGUGGCGCAAUUCUCGAAGACCACGGCGUCCUCCGAGAACGGCACCGGCCGCACGGCUGCCACCUGUUCGCCCAAAUGUCACAGCGCCAUCAGCACGCACACAAGAGCCUAGACUUUGAAAUGCAGUUCAAUUCACCGGCUUGAAAGAUGCAGCUUUCGUGCAGACCUUCCCGUCGCAGCUCCCCCUGAACCCGUCGGCGUAGUGCGCGCCGGCGCCCGUGUCCGGUGUGGCGCAGCUCUGUUCGUCAACGGCGGCCGGCUCCGACGGCGGGUGCCCGUGGCUCGUCCACCUCCACGUCCUCCCCUCCAUGUGCCGCCGGUACACGUGCCCGUCGGAGCCGACCACGAACAGCUGGGAGCCGUCGAAGCACGGGCCAGGGGCGCCGACGAGGGUCACGCCCCGGUGGGGCGUCCCGUGCUCUACCCACUCCCACCCGUCCUGUGGGCUGAAGUGGUACUCCACCAGCCCCCCGUGCUCGGACACCAUGAACAGGGAGCCGGCCAGGGACAGCGGCGAUGGCCGCAUGGCCGUCCCUGGGGAGCACGAUAGGAACAGGUGAGGUGAUUGGUAGUGCCUGUGCCAGAGCUCCGUGAUCCUGUUGUACUGGUAGAGGCGACCGUUGC